rnacentral:lncRNA from 1 species
UGAUCUAGCUACUUCCAUAUCGAUGAAGUACUUUAGUGCUCUAAGAUCUUUUAUUUCAAAUUCUUUGGACAUGAAUUCUUUAAGUUUCUGAAUCUUCUCAAGGUAAUCUUCUGUAAGAAUGAUAUCAUCAACAUAUACAAUCAAAAUAGCCUUUUUACCUGAAAUGCAAUGUUUGACGAACAAUAUAUGGUCGGAUUGACAUUGUUCAUAUCCU